UCCUGUCACAGAAGCAGAAAACUGUCAAACAGCCCUAGCCCUCCAUCCGCUGCUGCCCGUCAACACUUGCACACUUUACCAAGUAAGCUGUCGCUGCUCGCGGAUAGCCCUACUAAAUCUGUCAAUCAAGUGCGGGUUACUAUAGAAAGGGAUAAUAAAUGAGCUGUCAAGCCCCGCCAGUUGUGGGCGAGUUGACUUUGGCAGCGGGGAACCAACCAACCAGCGCGCGCCGCCCUCCGCGACGUCACAGCCUCGCGCGCGGCACACAGCCCCGAGUGCGCGUGCGUGAGAAUAAGUGUGUAGCUGCCCCUCGGCCGUGCCGCUUACCACGCCAUUCCUGGCUAACCUGUUUGUUUUCUCUUCUGGACCGAUCCUUGGCAUCGACUCCCGAGGCUAUGUUCCCUGUCGCACCAUCAUUUCAGCUGGUUUCGUCCCCUUCCCCUACUUUACUUUCCCCCCCGCAAGCCAGGUGGGCCGGUGCCCUUUGAACUGUCUCCUUAUCCUGUGUGGUAGGUAUCUCUCGACCGUUAGGUGGCAACUAUCGCAUCUUCAGCUGACUUCGCUUUCUGGCAAUUGAGUUCAAAUGUCACAUUCCUACGCCUCGGGCAAGAGUUUUGAGUGUGUGUCAGCACGCGCCUUUAACCACAUGGAUGACGAGAUAAAAAAAAUUAAUAAGAGUUUGAUGAAAAAAAAAAAAGUAAAUUUUUGUGAAUGUGUUCUGGGCUCUUCGACAAUCAUUUGCACAUACAUGUGCGUGUGCGUGCGAGGACCGGGAGGUCGCAGGAAAGCCUCUUUGCGUGCGUUGUGGGGUUUUCUCUCGAUUACGGCUGCUUGACAUCAGAUUCUCUACUUAGAGGGCUUGUGGUCUCCCGGGUGGCUGGACAGCUCUGAGUGCGUGUAAUCGGCAAGUCUUCUAAUGCACGGACGUGUUUCAAAAGAUGUGUCCACACUACAGUUUGGUGCCAGCAACGAUGUACCCGUAGCGCUUGCAGGAUACUGACUUACUCCUGAACACAAAGCCAUCUUCAGGAUUGGAGGGUUAAAAUCCGUUGUAAUACCCUCCCUCAUGGCGGCGUUUAUCGAUUGGCUACAACGAGCGGACGACAGACUAGGAUCGCACGCUGACCAACACACGGAGAAAGAUUAGCCAGCGCUCUAGUACGCCUUUAAUUAAACACAUUCUGCAAUAAAGGUUCAAAGUUCGA